GUGCUUAACACAUACAAGUCGCGUGCGCAGUUUCCGUAGCAAUACGGGGAUGGGCGCACGGCGCACGGGUGCGUAACACGUGGGCAAUCUGCCCUCCGAUGGGGAAUACCCCCGCGAAAGCGGGACUAAUUCCGCAUAACAUUCCUUGGAUUAACUUCUGAGGAUUCAAAGCAGCAAUGCGUCGGAGGAGGAGCCCGCGCCCGAUUAGCUAGUUGGUGAGGUAACGGCUCACCAAGGCAAUGAUCGGUAGCUGGUCUGAGAGGAUGGCCAGCCACACUGGAACUGAGACACGGUCCAG
rnacentral:rRNA from 1 species